rnacentral:rRNA from 1 species
UACGAAGGGGGCUAGCGUUGCUCGGAAUCACUGGGCGUAAAGGGUGCGUAGGCGGGUUUUUAAGUCAGAGGUGAAAUCCUGGAGCUCAACUCCAGAACUGCCUUUGAUACUGAGAAUCUUGAGUACGGGAGAGGUGAGUGGAACUGCGAGUGUAGAGGUGAAAUUCGUAGAUAUUCGCAAGAACACCAGUGGCGAAGGCGGCUCACUGGCCCGUAACUGACGCUGAGGCACGAAAGCUAGGGGAGCAAACGGG